GUGAGGAAUAUUGGUCAAUGGGCGCAAGCCUGAACCAGCCAUCCCGCGUGCAGGAAGACGGCGCUAUGCGUUGUAAACUGCUUUUCCAGGGGGAGAAACUUGCGCACGUGUUGCGCAAUUGACGGUACCCUGGGAAUAAGCAUCGGCUAACUCCGUGCCAGCAGCCGCGGUAAUACGGAGGAUGCGAGCGUUAUCCGGAUUCAUUGGGUUUAACGGGUGCGUAGGCGGACUAUUAAGUCAGUGGUGAAAUCCUGCAGCUUAACUGCAGAACUGCCAUUGAUACUGAUAGCCUUGAGUUUGGUUAAGGUAGGCGGAAUGUGUAAUGUAGCGGUGAAAUGCUUAGAUAUUACACAGAACACCAAUUGCGUAGGCAGCUUACUGAGCCGACACUGACGCUGAGGCACGAAAGCGUGGGGAUCGAACAGGAUUAGAUACCCUGGUAGUCC
rnacentral:rRNA from 1 species